UUUAACUCUUAGUUUUAAGUUUUUCAUAUUUUCUAUUUUAAUUUGAACUUGAAGUUAUUGAAAGGAAAACAGCAAACCUAAGCCAUGUUCUUGGAGCACCUGAAUCACCACCACUCACAGAAUUUCCUGGACGAUAUUGUGGGUGGACGAGACAAGGAGGGGUCACUUGCAUUGGCCGAGGCAGCAGUGGUCUCUUUGGCCUGAGAAAUUCCCAGUUUCUGCGAAUGCAACACAAAUCCUCCAUGUUGCCAAGAAGAAAGGCGGGAAAAAGCGUGAGCUGGUCGAGUCACCUUUGGACAGGACAGGCGGA